rnacentral:rRNA from 1 species
CCUACGGGAGGCAGCAGUGGGGAAUUUUGGACAAUGGGCGCAAGCCUGAUCCAGCAAUGCCGCGUGCAGGAAGAAGGCCUUCGGGUUGUAAACUGCUUUUGUACGGAACGAAAAGGUCUGGGUUAAUACCCUGGGCUCAUGACGGUACCGUAAGAAUAAGCACCGGCUAACUACGUGCCAGCAGCCGCGGUAAUACAUAGGGUGCAAGCGUUAAUCGGAAUUACUGGGCGUAAAGCGUGCGCAGGCGGUUAUGUAAGACAGGCGUGAAAUCCCCGGGCUUAACCUGGGAAUUGCGCUUGUGACUGCAUAGCUAGAGUAUGUCAGAGGGGGGUAGAAUUCCACGUGUAGCAGUGAAAUGCGUAGAGAUGUGGAGGAAUACCAAUGGCGAAGGCAGCCCCCUGGGAUAAUACUGACGCUCAUGCACGAAAGCGUGGGGAGCAAACAGGAUUAGAUACCCUGGUAGUCCACGCCCUAAACGAUGCUGACUAGUUGUUCGGGAAUUUAUUCCUGAGUAACGUAGCUAACGCGUGAAGUCAGCCGCCUGGGGAGUACGGUCGCAAGGUUAAAACUCAAAGGAAUUGACGG